UGGGUAAGUAACAUGCGUUUCAUUUGCGGAAAUUGAUAACGUGUUCAUAAACAAGAUGUUAUCGAAGUCUAUUUAAAAUAAAUCAUUAAAAAGAUUAUUUGAUUGAGUGGGUGCCUUCUACUAUACAACAUGUCUGAAAUGUAUUUACGACCAUCGGAAAUAAAUUUUUCUCAAGAUUCUAUUCACCGUUACUUUAGGCAUCACGAGAUCAAGAUGAUCGGGGAGACGUUAGAUGACAUAUGCGAAGGAAGGAUUACAAUUGACGAUAUUCCGAAAAUAGAAGUUGCGAAGCAUGAAGAAAAAUGGGUAACAUCUGACAACCGCCGCCUUUGGGUUUUUAAGCAUCUAGAACGAUUGGGAAAAUGUGCAACUGUAUGUGUCCGGAUAGUUUCCAUUGUUUGUCCAGCAAAACUUACCACGAAAAACGGCGGAGAAUCUAUUGAGAUUCGUGGCUUGCCAGGAGGAUCGUGGUAUUUGAAAGAAACAUGAUAAUAUGAUACAUCUACUAAAAACAGUGCUAUAAAGUACCUGUUUAUAAAAGCCGGACAAGUUAAAAAAACGUAAAUUGAAACAGUCUAACAUUUCGCUGUUUAUUUAUACUGGUAUGUGCUCAAUAUAUAGUAAACUAUUGAAGCUCUGAACACCAUUAUAUGUAAUUAUUAAGUGUAUCUUAUUGUAAUUCUGUCCAAACAUAUAUUUUGGAACAAUGUUGAAUGCUAUACUCAUUAUUGAUGUAUGUAGGUUCAUAUUUAUUACUUUUACCUAUUCAGUUGAUCUUUGUCUUUUUAUAUGUUUCUUUUAAAACAAAGUUUGAGUUAAUAACGUUUGUUACAGCGAUAUUGGGUAUAACAUCGUAGCUGAAUGAAUUAAGCAGCUUAGCAAUGUGAUGCUUAGUUAAGAACAAUAGUUAAUGUCUUGUAUGUUUCUCAGGUUUAUUUUUUAAUGUCAAUACAGUCUUUCAAUACAGUCUGCUUAUACGUGUGCAAUAAAAGUAUUAACACUAAAUUAAAAUAUGAUGAAGUUAUUUAAAUGCGAACUGAUUUAUUUUUUAAAUAAUUGUAACACGUAGUAAACAAAUUGAACACGUUAACCUUAAUCUGUUAAAUACAAAAAAAAACCAUAGUAUGCUACCAAUGGUUUAGCGCAGCUCCACUUUCGACUGCUUCAAUCACCAGCUGUAAGACGUCCGUGUCUGAUAUACUUUGCAUGUUGGUCGGUUUCAAAGUAUGCGCAAUAUCAAUAUGUCGAUUUUGUUCAAAUCAAUCAAUGCAUGAAGAAGAAUGUAUUAUGUUCAUAUAUAGCAUGAUAAGCUAUUGAGUCAUGUAUAUGCCGCCCACAAAAUAGAUCUGGUUCAAAGUCAUAA